UUCAUUCAACUAACUUAUCAUGAAAUCGCCCCACUGAUUUUUGACUCUAACUGAAAGUAAUCUUGUUCCUGAAAUUCCAGGAACAAUUUGAUUGAGAUCAUUGUCCCAAGAAUAAAUGGCCUGAAAUGUCUACUAGACACUCCUGAUGAAAGAUAAGUGGAAUGAAACCAACUCUGCCUUCUGCCUGAUCAGCGUUUGCCUGAAAUGCAAAUCUCCUCUGUUGCAUGUGGCUAGAAACUACUGAUAAAUUAGCUACAAAGUAAGUUUUUCUUUCCUUGUUCUUAGGAAUUCACAGGAACACUCCCGUUUAUUUGGAGCCCUUAUUUUACAUGUUGUUUCUUCUUAGCCUCUUCUUUUGCAUGUUCUUUAAUGGCACAACUAUAAUUAUUCACCACCCUAUACCACCACCAAAUAAAAUGUUCCUCAACGUUC